GAUGAACGCUGGCGGCGUGCCUAAUACAUGCAAGUCGAACGCUGGAAAUCUAGCUUGCUCGAUUGAAGGAGUGGCGAACGGGUGAGUAAUACAUAAGCAACCUACCCACGAAGACUGGGAUAAUCUUUGGAAACGGGGACUAAUACCGGAUAGGUAAUCGGAAGGCUUCUUCUGAUUAUUAAAGGUUAAAAACACUGGUGGCUGGGCGUAUUGCGCAUUAUUUAGUGGGUGAGGUAACGACCCACCAAGACGAUGAUGCGUAGUCGGCCCGAGAGGGUGAACAGCCAGAUUGGGACAGAGACACGGCCCAGACGGCAACGAGAAGCAGGGGUAGGGAAGUAUCAGCAAUGAGGGAGACCGUGACAGAGCGACGCCGCGUGAGUGAUGACGGCCUUCGGGUUGUCAAGCGCUGUUGUAAGGGAAGAGCGGUAGAUAGAGAAUAACUAAAUGACGGUACCUUACCAGAAAGCCACGGCUAACUACGUG
rnacentral:rRNA from 1 species